CAUGGCUCAGAACGAACGCUGGCGGCAGGCCUAACACAUGCAAGUCGAGCGAACCCUUCGGGGUUAGCGGCGGACGGGUUAGUAACGCGUGGGAAUAUACCCUUUGGUACGGAAUAGCCUCGGGAAACUGAGAGUAAUACCGUAUGUGCCCUUCGGGGGAAAGAUUUAUCGCCAAAGGAUUAGCCCGCGUUGGAUUAGAUAGUUGGUGGGGUAAUGGCCUACCAAGUCUACGAUCCAUAGCUGGUUUGAGAGGAUGAUCAGCAACACUGGGACUGAGACACGGCCCAGACUCCUACGGGAGGCAGCAGUGGGGAAUCUUAGACAAUGGGCGCAAGCCUGAUCUAGCCAUGCCGCGUGGACGAUGAAGGCCUUAGGGUUGUAAAGUCCUUUCAGAUGGGAAGAUAAUGACGGUACCAUCAGAAGAAGCCCCGGCUAACUCCGUG
rnacentral:rRNA from 1 species